UUCAUUUGGCAAGAUGGAGAUACCAGCCCCUUCAAUUUUAUGUAACCUCUUUGCUAUUGUGUUGAUCCUACAUUUACUAGAUACAUCAGUGUGUGAACCAACAUCGCAGACCGUCAUGAUCUUAUGUAACACUCAACUCCUGCAUAAUUGGACAAUUUAUGUCCGAAACUUUGUUGCAGCUAUGGAAACUGUAAGCCAACAAAUCAGAAAAGGAGGAUAUGGAGUUGCAGUUUCUGUCACUGAACCAGAUACUAGCUAUGCACUUGCCCAAUGCUAUGAUGAUCUUUCUUUACCCGACUGUACCUUAUGCUAUGCUGAAGCGCGAAAAAUUUUGCCCCGGUG
rnacentral:misc_RNA from 1 species